AUCCAGCGAACUUUCCAGAGAUGGAUUGGUGCCUUCGGGAACGCUGAGACAGGUGCUGCAUGGCUGUCGUCAGCUCGUGUUGUGAAAUGUUGGGUUAAGUCCCGNAACGAGCGCAACCCUUAUCCUUUGUUGCCAGCGAUUCGGUCGGGAACUCAAAGGAGACUGCCGGUGAUAAACCGGAGGAAGGUGGGGAUGACGUCAAGUCAUCAUGGCCCUUACGAGUAGGGCUACACACGUGCUACAAUGGCGCAUACAAAGAGAAGCGACCUCGCGAGAGCAAGCGGACCUCAUAAAGUGCGUCGUAGCCCGGAUCGGAGUCUGCAACUCGACUCCGUGAAGUCGGAAUCGCUAGUAAUCGUGGAUCAGAAUGCCACGGUGAAUACGUUCCCGGGCCUUGUACACACCGCCCGUCACACCAUGGGAGUGGGUUGCAAAAGAAGUAGGUAGCUUAACCUUCGGGAGGGCGCUUACCACUUUGUGAUUCAUGACUGGGGUGAAGUCGUAACAAGGUAGGCGUAGCGAG
rnacentral:rRNA from 1 species